rnacentral:rRNA from 1 species
GGGUUAGCAUUAGCGAAGCUCUUGAUCGAAGCCCGAGUAAACGGCGGCCGUAACUAUAACGGUCCUAAGGUAGCGAAAUUCCUUGUCGGUUAAAUACCGACCUGCAUGAAUGGCGUAACGAGAUGGGAGCUGUCUCAAAGAGGGAUCCAGUGAAAUUGUAGUGGAGGUGAAAAUUCCUCCUACCCGCGGCAAGACGGAAAGACCCCGUGGACCUUUACUACAGCUUGACACUGCUACUUGGAUAAGAAUGUGCAGGAUAGGUGGGAGGCUUUGAGUAUAUGACGCCAGUUGUAUAUGAGCCAUUGUUGAGAUACCACUCUUUCUUAUUUGGGUAGCUAACCAGCUUGAGUUAUCCUCAAGUGGGACAAUGUCUGGUGGGUAGUUUGACUGGGGCGGUCGCCUCCCAAAUAAUAACGGAGGCUUACAAAGGUUGGCUCAGAACGGUUGGAAAUCGUUCGUAGAGUAUAAAGGUAUAAGCCAGCUUAACUGCAAGACAUACAAGUCAAGCAGAGACGAAAGUCGGUCUUAGUGAUCCGGUGGUUCUGUGUGGAAGGGCCAUCGCUCAAAGGAUAAAAGGUACCCCGGGGAUAACAGGCUGAUCUCCCCCAAGAGCUCACAUCGACGGGGAGGUUUGGCACCUCGAUGUCGGCU